rnacentral:rRNA from 1 species
GGGAGGCAGCAGUGAGGAAUAUUGGUCAAUGGACGAGAGUCUGAACCAGCCAAGUAGCGUGAAGGAUGACUGCCUAUGGGUUGUAAACUUCUUUUAUACGGGAAUAAGUGAGGCACGUGUGCCUUUUUGUAUGUACCGUAUGAAUAAGGAUCGGCUAACUCCGUGCCAGCAGCCGCGGUAAUACGGAGGAUCCGAGCGUUAUCCGGAUUUAUUGGGUUUAAAGGGAGCGUAGGCGGACGCUUAAGUCAGUUGUGAAAGUUUGCGGCUCAACCGUAAAAUUGCAGUUGAUACUGGGUGUCUUGAGUACAGUAGAGGCAGGCGGAAUUCGUGGUGUAGCGGUGAAAUGCUUAGAUAUCACGAAGAACUCCGAUUGCGAAGGCAGCCUGCUGGACUGUAACUGACGCUGAUGCUCGAAAGUGUGGGU